rnacentral:misc_RNA from 1 species
ACCACAUAAUAAAAAGGAGAAAACUCAUCUGCUUCCUUUCCUUCAUGAUCAAAAAUAACUUGCUUCACCUUUUCAAUCAUAGAAUCCCACAACUCAUAAACCAAAUGAAGCCAUGGUUUUUCUGUGUCACAAACUUUAAUCAUGUCAUAAUGGGCCCAAUAAAAGCAAGAAUGUAAUCAAUCUGUUCCCACCAAUGCUGAUCCACCACUUUUUCACAAAUAAAUAUAGUUUUGCCUUGGUCAUUUUCUUGGUAUUGUGCCCAUUGAUCACUCA